ensembl:miRNA gga-mir-1582 gga-mir-1582
CAAAGUAUGCUGUGUUUUUCUUUCUGCUAUCAGCCAGCUCUUGGAACCUGGAAGGCUGAAAGAGAGCCAGAACACAGUCAACAUCUUUG